GUUUUCACCACUGGUUCCUUCUGGACACUUCUCUGGUUAUUCCCUGCUCGAUGUCUCCGUGUGCCUGCUACUCCAUGCCAGUUACCAUGUCCAUGUUCCAUGUCCUGCAUCCUUGCUGAUUUCUUUUGGAUUUUGUCAUGAUGUCACACAAGGAAGCAGUGUGUUCGAGGUAUCGUCUUAAAAAACAUCCACAGCUCUUGUUCUCAUCGCCCAGUUGGACAACCUCCGCAGUUCUAACGGGGAGCGCAGAGGUAGAAGCUCUGCCAAAUAGGACAGAGAUCAGUGUGUGCUCACAGAGGAAGUAGCUGCACCGCUAAAUACCCAGAUGGGUAUGACCCUACAGCACACAAGCAGAGAUCAAAAGCCCCAAAAAAGGUGGAGACGCCCGAAAUCCUUCAGUUGAGCGCACAGAGACCAGGAAGGACAUAUGAGCAGAGGAUGGAUGGAUGUCCUCACACUGCAGAAUUCUUUUAAAAAGUAGGACCAUCCCCGCUCACUGCAUUUCACAAGAGCAAAGAAAAAGCUCAACCUGCGCCUGCACACGGCAUAUCGGAUGGAAAAUAAAAACAACAAUCCUUGCUGCACCUACCUCACUC